rnacentral:rRNA from 1 species
GACGAACGCUGGCGGCGUGCUUAACACAUGCAAGUCGAACGGUAAGGCCCUUCGGGGUACACGAGUGGCGAACGGGUGAGUAACACGUGGGUGAUCUGCCCUGCACUUCGGGAUAAGCCUGGGAAACUGGGUCUAAUAACGGAUAGGACUCCGGACUGCAUGGUCUGGGGUGGAAAGCUUUUGCGGUGUGGGAUGGGCCCGCGGCCUAUCAGCUUGUUGGUGGGGUGAUGGCCUACCAAGGCGACGACGGGUAGCCGGCCUGGGAGGGUGACCGGCCACAGUGGGAAUGAGAUACGGCCCAGACUCCUACGGGAGGCAGCAGUGGGGAAUAUUGCACAAUGGGCGCAAGCCUGAUGCAGCGACGCCGCGUGAGGGAUGACGGCCUUCGGGUUGUAAACCUCUUUCAGCAUCGACGAAGCGAAAGUGACGGUAGGUGCAGAAGAAGGACCGGCCAACUACGUGCCAGCAGCCGCCGUAA